UCCCCUAGUAACGGCGAGUGAAGCGGGAAGAGCUCAAAUUUAAAAUCUGGCUUGCUUGCAAGUCCGAGUUGUAGUCUGAAGAAGCGUUUUCCAUGAAAGCUGAGGCACAAGUCCUUUGGAACAGGGCAUCAUAGAGGGUGAGAAUCCCGUCCAUGGUCUCAUGCAUUUCAUUUUGUGAUACGUUUUCUAAGAGUCAGGUUGUUUGGGAAUGCAGCCUAAAAUGGGUGGUAAAUUUCAUCUAAAGCUAAAUAUUGGCGAGAGACCGAUAGCGAACAAGUACCGUGAGGGAAAGAUGAAAAGAACUUUGAAAAGAGAGUUAAAAAGUACGUGAAAUUGUUGAAAGGGAACCGUUUGAAGCCAGUCUUGCUUACUUGUGAUCAAUCUUAGCUUCGGCUUGGAUGCACUCUCAAGUUAUGCAGGUCAACGUCAGUUUGAGAGGUGGGAAAAAAGUUUGAGGAAUGUGGCCUUCGGGUGUUAUAGCCUCUUACUAAAUACCAUCUCUUGGACUGAGGCUCGCAGCAAAAAUGUGGGUUGGUUUGCUCCUGAGGUGAAUCAUUAUUAAGACAGCUUGCUGACUUAGUUUUGUGGAUCUUCACGGUAGGCCAGCUUCUAAUUUGCUUAGGUCGUUGACAUAAUGGCUUUAAAUGACCCGUCUUGAAACACGGACCAAGGAGUCUAACAUAUAUGCGAGUAUUUGGGUGGCAAACCCACAUGCGCAAUGAAAGUGAAACUAGGUGCCAAACCCGCAAGGGUGGCAGCAUCGGCCGGCUCUGACGUUUCUAACUGACGAGUCUGAGCAGAAGCAUACAUGUUGGGACCCGAAAGAUGGUGAACUAUGCCUGAAUAGGGUGAAGCCAGAGGAAACUCUGGUGGAGGCUCGUAGCGAUUCUGACGUGCAAAUCGAUCGUCAAAUUUGGGUAUAGGGGCGAAAGACUAAUCGACCAUCU
rnacentral:rRNA from 1 species